GAUGAACGCUAGCUACAGGCUUAACACAUGCAAGUCGAGGGGAAACGGCAUCGAAAGCUUGCUUUUGAUGGGCGUCGACCGGCGCACGGGUGAGUAACGCGUAUCCAACCUGCCCAUCACUUGGGAAUAGCCUUGCGAAAGUAAGACUAAUGCCCAAUGACAUCCCACGAAGGCAUCCGAAUGGGAUUAAAGAUUUAUCGGUGAUGGAUGGGGAUGCGUCUGAUUAGCUUGUUGGCGGGGUGACGGCCCACCAAGGCAACGAUCAGUAGGGGUUCUGAGAGGAAGGUCCCCCACAUUGGAACUGAGACACGGUCCAAACUCCUACGGGAGGCAGCAGUGAGGAAUAUUGGUCAAUGGGCGAGAGCCUGAACCAGCCAAGUAGCGUGCAGGAUGACGGCCCUAUGGGUUGUAAACUGCUUUUAUAAGGGAAUAAAGUGGGUCACGUGUGACUUUUUGCAUGUACCUUAUGAAUAAGGACCGGCUAAUUCCGUG
rnacentral:rRNA from 1 species